GAUAAACGCUGGCGGCGUGCCUAAUACAUGCAAGUCGAGCGAACGGACGAGAAGCUUGCUUCUCUGAUGUUAGCGGCGGACGGGUGAGUAACACGUGGAUAACCUACCUAUAAGACUGGGAUAACUUCGGGAAACCGGAGCUAAUACCGGAUAAUAUUUUGAACCGCAUGGUUCAAAAGUGAAAGACGGUCUUGCUGUCACUUAUAGAUGGAUCCGCGCUGCAUUAGCUAGUUGGUAAGGUAACGGCUUACCAAGGCAACGAUGCAUAGCCGACCUGAGAGGGUGAUCGGCCACACUGGAACUGAGACACGGUCCAGACUCCUACGGGAGGCAGCAGUAGGGAAUCUUCCGCAAUGGGCGAAAGCCUGACGGAGCAACGCCGCGUGAGUGAUGAAGGUCUUCGGAUCGUAAAACUCUGUUAUUAGGGAAGAACAUAUGUGUAGGUAACUGUGCACAUCUUGACGGUACCUAAUCAGAAAGCCACGGCUAACUACGUGCCAGCAGCCGCGGUAAUACGUAGGUGGCAAGCGUUAUCCGGAAUUAUUGGGCGUAAAGCGCGCGUAGGCGGUUUUUUAAGUCUGAUGUGAAAGCCCACGGCUCAACCGUGGAGGGUCAUUGGAAACUGGAAAACUUGAGUGCAGAAGAGGAAAGUGGAAUUCCAUGUGUAGCGGUGAAAUGCGCAGAGAUAUGGAGGAACACCAGUGGCGAAGGCGACUUUCUGGUCUGUAACUGACGCUGAUGUGCGAAAGCGUGGGGAUCAAACAGGAUUAGAUACCCUGGUAGUCCACGCCGUAAACGAUGAGUGCUAAGUGUUAGGGGGUUUCCGCCCCUUAGUGCUGCAGCUAACGCAUUAAGCACUCCGCCUGGGGAGUACGACCGCAAGGUUGAAACUCAAAGGAAUUGACGGGGACCCGCACAAGCGGUGGAGCAUGUGGUUUAAUUCGAAGCAACGCGAAGAACCUUACCAAAUCUUGACAUCCUUUGACAACUCUAGAGAUAGAGCCUUCCCCUUCGGGGGACAAAGUGACAGGUGGUGCAUGGUUGUCGUCAGCUCGUGUCGUGAGAUGUUGGGUUAAGUCCCGCAACGAGCGCAACCCUUAAGCUUAGUUGCCAUCAUUAAGUUGGGCACUCUAAGUUGACUGCCGGUGACAAACCGGAGGAAGGUGGGGAUGACGUCAAAUCAUCAUGCCCCUUAUGAUUUGGGCUACACACGUGCUACAAUGGACAAUACAAAGGGCAGCGAAACCGCGAGGUCAAGCAAAUCCCAUAAAGUUGUUCUCAGUUCGGAUUGUAGUCUGCAACUCGACUACAUGAAGCUGGAAUCGCUAGUAAUCGUAGAUCAGCAUGCUACGGUGAAUACGUUCCCGGGUCU
rnacentral:rRNA from 1 species